UUUGGACCAGAAACCCUGAUGAC
rnacentral:piRNA from 1 species